rnacentral:rRNA from 1 species
AUUGAACGCUGGCGGCAUGCUUUACACAUGCAAGUCGAACGGUAACAGGGAGCUUGCUCCGCUGACGAGUGGCGAACGGGUGAGUAAUGCAUCGGAACGUACCCAGUCGUGGGGGAUAACGUAGCGAAAGUUACGCUAAUACCGCAUACGUCCUGAGGGAGAAAGCGGGGGACCGAAAGGCCUCGCGCGAUUGGAGCGGCCGAUGUCGGAUUAGCUAGUUGGUGGGGUAAAGGCCUACCAAGGCGACGAUCCGUAGCGGGUCUGAGAGGAUGAUCCGCCACACUGGGACUGAGACACGGCCCAGACUCCUACGGGAGGCAGCAGUGGGGAAUUUUGGACAAUGGGGGCAACCCUGAUCCAGCCAUGCCGCGUGAGUGAAGAAGGCCUUCGGUGUAAAGCUCUUUCAGACGGAAGAAAACGCAAUCGGUGAAUACCCGAUGUGGAUGACGGUACCGUAAGAAGAAGACACCGGCUAACUACGUG